rnacentral:pre_miRNA from 1 species
UAACUACUUCUUUCGUUCGGAAUUACUUGUCGUAGAAAUAGAUGUAUCUAGAUGUAUUAUAGUUUUAGAUACAUCCAUAUCCGAGACAAAUAAUUCUAAACGAAGGGAGUAGAUA